UACGUAGGGUGCGAGCGUUAAUCGGAAUUACUGGGCGUAAAGCGUGCGCAGGCGGUUUGUUAAGACAGAUGUGAAAUCCCCGGGCUUAACCUGGGAACUGCAUUUGUGACUGGCAAGCUAGAGUAUGGCAGAGGGGGGUAGAAUUCCACGUGUAGCAGUGAAAUGCGUAGAGAUGUGGAGGAAUACCGAUGGCGAAGGCAGCCCCCUGGGCCAAUACUGACGCUCAUGCACGAAAGGCGUGGGGAG
rnacentral:rRNA from 1 species